ACACGAGAUCCCUUACAAUAAUAGAUGCAUUGAUCAAAUUUGAAAAUAAAAAUGUUGUCUACAUUAAAUGUCUUUAAUAACGUAGGAUAUAUCCACAACUCUCAUUAAUUUAAAGUUAAUGCCGAUUGUAUAAGCCUACUAUUGGUUUUGUUUACCAUGCUGAAUAAUUAUUGCAGUGAGGUGUCUUUUCUGAGCACCUGACACUUCAUUAAUACAUGCAUGGAAAUAUAACGACUAGAACUGACAACUUGGAGGGGCGAGAGGGUUGGAGGAUGGAAAUGGCGGCUAGUACUGCAGACGAAAUGGAGGAAAUUGAGAAAAGGUCCCAGGUCCCGAGAAUCUUUUUAUUCUCACUCAACAGCUUCAUCAUCACUCAAGGCCACAAUGGAACAGAAUAUUGCACUUUGGUGGAUCUUGACUAAUCUGAGUGCAGAGUACUGGUGCACACGGAAGGCAUCGCUUAAGAAAAUCUCAAGGAAGGACACUGCGGCACUCUCUUGGACUGGCUGGAUCAGCAGUAGGGGACACAGAGACCACAGGAAGUAGAAGUGGGCCCCAAAACCAGACUUUAUCUAACAUUUCUUUAUCCACUAAACUCCCCCGUUCAUUCCAUGCCUCUCCUUGUGCUGCGACCACAAACAAAUCGUAAAUUUUGUUGCAUUUUUUUUGUCAUCUCUCAUUGUGAGUUAAACUUAGUCUGUUAUUGAUGCUAAUCAUUUCAAUCUGUUCAAAAUGAGGCUGAACAGAAAGGUUGAGGUUUAUUUAAAAAGUGUUUUAGGUGUCAAUAUGCCAAAACGCAAUAGAAAAAAAAAUAGAAAAGAAAUUGCACUGGGGUGAUGCUUGGUAUGUUGUAUGUUGGAAUGUGAGCUCAAAUGCUGUAUAUUGUACUGUAUCUUGAAGGAUAUGACAAUAUCCUGUGGCUUUAGAGGGCUAGAGAUGUUUUUGUGUAGCGUUAUCUUCGGAGGGGAACAUGAAUGUUCUGGCGGAAUAACUCAUGUUGGCGUUGAUGUUGAUAUUAUUUGCUCUUCCAGAUCACUGUCUUUCAUAACAAAUCACAAGUGAACACAAAUGUUUUUGUUUGUUUUUUGGUGCCUUUUCUUCCUGCCGCCAAACCAACCCAGACAAAGCCACUGGUCCAAUCACUUUGUGAAGCACCAAUCGUGCUCAAUGAUCCAUGCUGCCAGUCUCUUAGUUGAUGAGGGCUGGACUAGAUUAAUUGACUAUCUGUCCAUUUCAAGGGAAACCUAUCCCUCCCCAUCAAUAUCAGCAUUUAGACCAGUUAGUGAAAACAAAGCUGAAGCUCUUUUCUCAGAUAUCGGGUCAAUGCCCUUCAUUACGCAAGUGUACACUUACCCUAACCCUAACCAAGUGCAUUCGGAAAGGAUUCA